rnacentral:rRNA from 1 species
UACGUAGGGGGCUAGCGUUGUCCGGAAUCAUUGGGCGUAAAGCGCGCGUAGGCGGCCAGAUAAGUCCGGUGUGAAAGUCACAGGCUCAACCUGUGAAUGCCGCUGGAAACUGUCUGGCUUGAGUCCGGAAGGGGCGAGUGGAAUUCCUGGUGUAGCGGUGAAAUGCGCAGAUAUCAGGAGGAACACCGGUGGCGAAGGCGGUUCUCUGGGCCUGUACUGACGCUGAGGAACGAAAGCGUGGGGAGCGAACGGG